rnacentral:rRNA from 1 species
AGAGUUUGAUCAUGGCUCAGGAUGAACGCUGGCGGCGUGCCUAACACAUGCAAGUCGAACGGGGAUAAUGAAACUGAGAGCUUCGGCAGGAUGAUUUGUUAUUCUAGCGGCGGACGGGUGAGUAACGCGUGAGCAAUCUGUCCCAGACAGGGGGAUAACACUUGGAAACAGGUGCUAAUACCGCAUAAGACCACGAUGCCACAUGGCAUUGAGGUAAAAGGAGCGAUCCGGUUUGGGGUGAGCUCGCGUCCGAUUAGCUAGUUGGCGAGGUAACGGCCCACCAAGGCGACGAUCGGUAGCCGACCUGAGAGGGUGAUCGGCCACAUUGGAACUGAGACACGGUCCAAACUCCUACGGGAGGCAGCAGUGGGGGAUAUUGGGCAAUGGGAGAAAUCCUGACCCAGCGACGCCGCGUGAACGAUGAAGGCCUUAGGGUCGUAAAGUUCUUUUGCACAGGAAGAAGAAUGUGACGGUACUGUGCGAAUAAGCCCCGGCUAACUACGUGCCAGCAGCCGCGGUAAUACGUAGGGGGCGAGCGUUGUUCGGAAUUACUGGGCGUAAAGGGCGCGCAGGCUGUCGAUCAAGUCAGCUGUAAAAGGAUGCGGCUUAACCCGUAUUAUGCAGUUGAGACUGAAGUACUGGAGUGCUGGAGAGGCAAGUGGAAUUCCCAGUGUAGCGGUGAAAUGCGUAGAUAUUGGGAAGAACAUCGGUGGCGAAGGCGGCUUACUGGCCGGUAACUGACGCUGAGGCGCGAAAGCCAGGGUAGCAAACGGGAUUAGAUACCCCGGUAGUCCUGGCGGUAAACGAUGAAUGCUAGGUGUGCGUGUAGAGAUACAGGUGUGCCGCAGUAAACACGAUAAGCAUUCCGCCUGGGGAGUACGGUCGCAAGAUUGAAACUCAAAGGAAUUGACGGGGGCCCGCACAAGCGGUGGAGCACGUGGUUUAAUUCGAUGCAAACCGAAGUACCUUACCUGGGUUUGACAUACAAGUGGUAGGAGCUGGAAACAGUGA